AGAGCCUGAAUCAGUGUGUGUGUUAGUGGAAGCGUCUGGAAAGGCGCGCGAUACAGGGUGACAGCCCCGUACACAAAAAUGCACAUGCUGUGAGCUCGAUGAGUAGGGCGGGACACGUGGUAUCCUGUCUGAAUAUGGGGGGACCAUCCUCCAAGGCUAAAUACUCCUGACUGACCGAUAGUGAACCAGUACCGUGAGGGAAAGGCGAAAAGAACCCCGGCGAGGGGAGUGAAAAAGAACCUGAAACCGUGUACGUACAAGCAGUGGGAGCACGCUUCGGCGUGUGACUGCGUACCUUUUGUAUAAUGGGUCAGCGACUUAUAUUCUGUAGCAAGGUUAACCGAAUAGGGGAGCCGAAGGGAAACCGAGUCUUAACUGGGCGUUAAGUUGCAGGGUAUAGACCCGAAACCCGGUGAUCUAGCCAUGGGCAGGUUGAAGGUUGGGUAACACUAACUGGAGGACCGAACCGACUAAUGUUGAAAAAUUAGCGGAUGACUUGUGGCUGGGGGUGAAAGGCCAAUCAAACCGGGAGAUAGCUGGUUCUCCCCGAAAGCUAUUUAGGUAGCGCCUCGUGAAUUCAUCUCCGGGGGUAGAGCACUGUUUCGGCAAGGGGGUCAUCCCGACUUACCAACCCGAUGCAAACUGCGAAUACCGGAGAAUGUUAUCACGGGAGACACACGGCGGGUGCUAACGUCCGUCGUGAAGAGGGAAACAACCCAGACCGCCAGCUAAGGUCCCAAAGUCAUGGUUAAGUGGGAAACGAUGUGGGAAGGCCCAGACAGCCAGGAUGUUGGCUUAGAAGCAGCCAUCAUUUAAAGAAAGCGUAAUAGCUCACUGGUCGAGUCGGCCUGCGCGGAAGAUGUAACGGGGCUAAACCAUGCACCGAAGCUGCGGCAGCGACGCUGAUGCGUUGUUGGGUA
rnacentral:rRNA from 1 species